GAAAAGAAAAUAAAAGAAAAGAAAAGAAAGAAAAAAUAUGAGAGACGAGAGGAAAGAAAAAAAGAGAUUGAGGAAGGGGAAAGGAUAUUAUCGUGGCCACUAGAAAGGACCCGUGCAUCUUUACUACCCUGUUGGUAAAACCUCAUCGGAGGAAGAGCUGUACGAGCGGAUAGUGUCCGGCGCUAAAGCGCGCGACGCUGCUGCUCUGCCGUUGGCGUCACGAAACUCCAUUACCGACGUUUUCUGUGAAUUCCGCGCUCGUCGGACGCGCGAGAGAGCCGAGCAAGAUAGAGAAGAGAGAGAGAGAGGGAGAGAGGAGAGAGAAUGAGAGGAGGAGAACGACGCAAUGAAAUUUGAACGCGUUGUGCGGCGUUCGUGUUCUAUCUUCCUCGACGAUAUCUCCCUCUUGGCGUCUUUGUCUCUCAUUUUCUCUCUCUCUCUCUCUCUCUCUCUCUCUCUCUCUCUCUCUGUAUCUUUCUCCCUGAGCAAUAUAACCACGUUCUCGUGUUUCUAUCUCUCUCGCUCAACCGCCAAUCUGCGCGCGUAGCACGCGAGAGAGCGCAGCUGCUGCAUCAACGACGAAAACGAAGACGAAGAUGAUGAUGACGACGACGACGAUGAAGACGAUGAUGACGAUGAUGAUGACGACUAAGACGACUAAGACGACUAAGACGACAAAGACGACAAUGGUGGAGUAUCGAAGGUGUGGGUGAAGGGUGCGGGAAGGAUGAGGAAUUGCGCGAGGCGAGACGAAAGGGACCGGCGCUAGGCUCAUCGCGCUGAGAACAGGAGGAAGGGGGAAGGGAACAGCGCAGGAAACUCGGCAACGCCACACGGACGCUGGCGGCAGCAACGGCGCGCGCGACCUAAAGGCAGCCGUGGUGUAUCGGCAACGCAGCGGUGACUCAGCAACGCCGGCCGACGGCGGCAACAACGACGACGAUGACGACGAUACCGGCAACGGAGGAGGCAACGACGACGGCAACGACGACGACGACGUCGGCUGCCAUUGCUGCCGUUGCCAUCGCCGUCGGCCACGACCGUUCGUUCAUUCUACAUAUCUCAGGGUACUUGGGCAACGGCGUUGCUGGUUACAAGGCUGCUUCUUCUACCUCAUCUCGUAAAGACCUUUUGCAACCCGGUUUUGUAACUCGAUUCUUUAUGGCGAAUGUCUCGCACACCCCGCACCCGCCCAACCCUUUACCAUCCGCCCUCUGCUCCCCUCCCCAAUCUUUUUCUCCUUCUCUUUCUUCCCCUACUUGUUUUUUCUCUUUUUUUUUCCUUUUUCUUCUUCUUCUUCUCCGUCCGUCUUCUUCUGUUGUUUCUUUUUUUAUCCACGCCAUGACGAUGACGUUGACGUUGACGUUGACGGUUGACGUUGACGGUUGACGUUGACAUUGACGACUACCACGAAGACGAAGAUGUUACAAUAUUUUUUCUCGAUAGACUAUAAUAUAUGACUUCCACGAAGAGAAUUAUCAUCGUAAUCGUAUGGAUGGAGACGUGUACAAUAAUAAUCACAUUGAUAUUUUCGAAUUAAUCUCGGGGAUGCUUUUGCACCCAUGAAAUAUAUCAUAAUCAAUUUAUUUGCGUCGAUAUUUUUCUUUGCUCUUAUUUUCUUUUUCUUUUUUUUCUUUCUUCUUUUUUUGAUCGUUCAUAGUAGAAAUGUCCCUCAAAAAAAGAAUUCGUAUGUAAGUACGAUGUAUGUAUCAAUUCAAAGGGGGUAGAGAAUCGUAUCCCGCGAUUACCGACGAGAUGAACGAAUGGCAAAUGUAAUCGUUAGUCGCCUCCCUCCCUUCUUCCCCUCCCUCUCUCCCACUCGUCCUUUUUUUUCCUCGAAGCGCGAUUGGUCGGUCCAUGCCGAAAUUCUAUUUGUCGUUUAAAAACAAGGACGAUGACGCGGAGGAGUAGUCGAUGCUUGCGCCAAUGCGCGCUGGCGCGCGCGCGCACGCGUUUCAUCCUAAAAAACGAAUGAGGACGAACGGACAAACGGACGGACAAAUGGACGAAGUGAGCGAUUAAAAUCGAAUAAAAUUAUUUUCUCGGCAUUGCUCUUGUAUUGUAACUUCGAAGAAUAUUGUAGUAGGAAGAAGAAGAAGAAGAAGGGAUUAAGUUGAUCGUAUCUUAAAAGAGUAAUAGUAGCAAUAGUAGAUAGUAAUAAUAAUAGUACAUAAUAGUUUAGAUUUUACGUGCGUAGUUUGCAGAUGACGAAUAACGAAAAUAUUUAAUAUGGGUUCCUUUUAAAAACUUGACCUUCUAUAUAUGACGAGCUCGCGGUUUACCUUAUAAGAACUAUUUCCACGAAUACCCGACGUAUUUCCAGUGGCGAGCGACGUGAUCGCGAUAGUCACCGCGACAGGAAUUCUCUUUCUCUCCUACAUGUACAUAUGUAUUAUAACCAACCGUCCUAUUCUUAGCGCUCAUCGCGCGCAUCGCGAGUAACGGGUUGGACGAUGACGACUAUGCGAACGAGAGAGAGAGAGAGAGAGAGAGAGAGAGAGAGAGAGAGAGAGAGAAGGAAAGAAAGAAAGAGCGAAGACAAACAGAAUGAUGAGAGAGACAGAUAGAGAAAGAGAGAGAGAAAGAAGGAAAGAAAGAAAGAGCGAAGACAAACAGAAUGAUGAAAGAGACAGAGAGAGAGAGAGAGAUAGGGUUGUGGGACAAUGGGUUAAAAGGGAGGUAAAAGAAGAAGAGCGUAUAGAGAGAAACACGAGGAUGGAAAUCCGACGACGUUGUAGUUAGUUUAUCGGCCGCCGAUAAAGCAGAGACUCCCGCCGAUCCUUUUGGUUUACAAGAAGAAGAGAGCGUGAAACUGGCAUUCUGGUUUCGUUGGAAAGGGGCAAGGGGGAGAGGGAGAGGCAGAGGCAGUAAGUUCGUCGUAUUGCCGCGGCGACGUUUAAAGUUUCGCGAGGCGCGCGGCAAGGCAACCUAUGGCUCGUUCGCGCGCUCCGAUGCGAAAGCGAAAUACAUAUAAUACCCGCAAUAACAACCACAAGAACUACAAAAACAGUCUCAGCAACAACCAUAACUUCCACAAUAUAACCACAACGACAACUACAAAAACAACGAAAACAACUACCCCAAUAACAAUUACAACAUCAACCAAAACCACAACGACUAUCACGGCAAUCACAACAACAACGUAAACAACAAUCACAAUAACAACUAGAACAACAGCCACAACAUCAACCACAACCACAACGAAAAUCACCAAAACUGCGACAACAACAACCACAAGAACCACAAAAACAACCACAACGACAACCGCAACCAUAACGACUACCACGACAAUCACAACAACAACGUAAACAACAACCACAAUAACAACUAGAACAACAGCCAGAACCACAAUCGCAACGAAAACAACAACGACAACUACAACGACAACGGCAACCACAACGAAAGCAACAAGAACAAUAACAACCACAAUUGCUACAACAACAACAACGACAACUAUAACGACAACCGCAAAUCUAACCACAACGACAACGACAACCACAACAAACACGAAAUCAACAACCAUACAAGCAGGACAACAACAACCAUGACAACUAUAACGACGACUACAACGACAACCAUAGCGGGAAUCACAACAGCAAUCAUUAAACAACCAUAAGUACAACUGCAACGACAACUACAAUAACAUCAACGAGAGUGAUAAUAAUAAUAAUAAGAAUAUUAAUGACAGGGAUAAUAAUGAGAAUAGGAAUAGCAACAACAACAACCACAACAACAACAAUAAAAAUAAUAAUAAUAAUUAUAAUAAUCGAAAUUUUUUUUACGAGCUUUUAGAACUUGCAGCUCGAUUCAACGCACAUAAUGACAUUUAAAAAUUCGCUCGAUAAAAUAAAUUUCUUUUCUUUCUUU